CUGAUUGAUUGUGCAUAGGAAGCUGGCAGCACUCAGAGCCCUGCUACGGGAGGAAGGUGGGAUUGACAUCAUGUGAGAAGCCUUGGGAGAAACUGCCACCAGCCCCACCACCAUGGAUAGCUACAACCAUUUCUACUGCUAUGACUCCUCUGUUUUGACAAACCGAAACUCCACCCCCAAAACAUGUGAGCCAGAAUAAACCCUUCCUCUUUUUUUAAGCUA